rnacentral:snRNA from 1 species
AAACUUACCUGACGCGAGAGGCACCUUGAUCAACUAGGAGGUCCUCUCAGGAUGAGGCCCUUUCAUUGCACUUCGACUGGGUUGACUCCUGCGAUUACCCCUAAUGUGGGUAACUCGAGCGUAUAAUUUCUGGUAGUGGGGACCUGCGUUCACGCUCGUCCCCU